rnacentral:rRNA from 1 species
AUUGAACGCUGGCGGCAUGCCUUACACAUGCAAGUCGAACGGCAGCGGGCCUUCGGGUGCCGGCGAGUGGCGAACGGGUGAGUAAUGCAUCGGAACGUGCCAUUGAGUGGGGGGAUAACGUAGCGAAAGUUACGCUAAUACCGCAUAUUCUGUGAGCAGGAAAGAGGGGGAUCGCAAGACCUCUUGCUUUAGGAGCGGCCGAUGUCGGAUUAGCUAGUUGGUGAGGUAAAGGCUCACCAAGGCGACGAUCCGUAGCGGGUCUGAGAGGAUGAUCCGCCACACUGGGACUGAGACACGGCCCAGACUCCUACGGGAGGCAGCAGUGGGGAAUUUUGGACAAUGGGCGCAAGCCUGAUCCAGCCAUGCCGCGUGAGUGAAGAAGGCC